rnacentral:lncRNA from 1 species
UACAAGCACUGUGAUAUUGUGACAGUCAAUCUGAUAACCCAGUGAUUCACACCCCUGGUGGAAGGGAGCAAGACCACAUGACAGCUCAUCAUGCCACUCAGAAGGGACCUAUUACUUAAAACUUAUACAUUACUUAUUUCUGGAAUUUUCCAUUUAAUAUUUUUGGACUGCAGUUAACCAAGGGUAACUGAGACCAUGCAAAGCAAAACCAUGUGUAAGGGGGGACUACUGUGUUAGGAUUUAAGAGGUGGCCUAAAAAAUGUUUGAGAGCAGUGAUUGUUUCUAUAUGCUCUUAUUUUUUCUAUCAGGCACUGUCUUUCUCCCAUUCCAAGAUGUAACUGUUUUGACUACAUGAUUCUAUUUGUUGUAGUGAGCAGAUUGCUCUUUAACAUUUUUAUUAAAGAGCAUAAUUUCUGUCCUCACCAUCCCCAUAUAUUGGUUUCUUUUUUUUCUCCACUUUUUUUUAAAGAUCCUUGAAAAAGCCUUGUUUUACAGAACCCUCUCAAACAAGAGCUAAUUAGUUUUCUCAGCAUAAUUGCAGGUGCUGCUGCUGCUGCUAAGUCACUUCAGUCGUGUCUGACUCUGNNNNNNNNNNNNNNNNNNNNNNNNNNNNNNNNNNNNNNNNNNNNNNNCUGGGAUUCUCCAGGCAAGAACACUGGAGUGGGUUGCCAUUGCUUUCUCUGAAUUGCAGGUGAAUCAUCUUCAAAACUCACAGACCUCUUGAACUUCUAGGAAGAGUCCUUUGUCUUCUGAUGAAGAUUUUUGCUGAUGGUUAUUUGUUAUGCAAACAACUUUGCUAACUCUCCAGAAGGUGGAAGGGAAUCUAUUUCUAAAGAAACUAUGUAAGAUUUAAGAAUUGUGUAACUAUAUUAAGGAAACAUUUUAAUUUGACUUAACAAAAUAAGGUAUAAAUUUUAGCCCUCCCAAUUCUUUACCAUCUGAGACCUUGUUAAAAAGGAAAGUUCCCAAAGAUUCAGAGCUCCUCUGUGCAAACUGCUGGGGGCAGUUUUGACCUUGAACCUCUCUCUGUUCUCAAAAUCGCUACAACAGAACUUUUGAAAGUUUGUGGACUUGGGAGAAACAAAAAAUUCUUAGAACCCCGGAUUCUCCAGCGAAUAAAACCAUUAAUUUCCAUCCUAUGAAGCAUGAUAAUGUCACUUCAGUUUUCUUCCCUCAGUGUUGUUUUGAAUAAUGGGGGGUUGCUGUGAAUAGGUAGAGAGCAUUCAUGUAUGAGGUUUUGGGUUUUUUUUUUUCUUUUAUAGUGUAACACACAUAGUAUUUAA